rnacentral:rRNA from 1 species
UACGUAGGUGGCAAGCGUUGUCCGGAUUUACUGGGCGUAAAGGAUGCGUAGGCGGAUACUUAAGUCAGAUGAGAAAAUCCCGAGCUUAACUUGGGAACUGCAUUUGAAACUGGGUAUCUAGAGUGUGGGAGAGGAAAGUGGAAUUCCUAGUGUAGCGGUGAAAUGCGUAGAGAUUAGGAAGAACACCAGUGGCGAAGGCGACUUUCUGGACCAUAACUGACGCUGAGGCAUGAAAGCGUGGGGAGCAAACAGG